AGCGAAACCGCGAGGUCAAGCAAAUCCCAUAAAGUUGUUCUCAGUUCGGAUUGUAGUCUGCAACUCGACUAUAUGAAGCUGGAAUCGCUAGUAAUCGUAGAUCAGCAUGCUACGGUGAAUACGUUCCCGGGUCUUGUACACACCGCCCGUCACACCACGAGAGUUUGUAACACCCGAAGCCGGUGGAGUAACCAUUUGGAGCUAGCCGUCGAAGGUGGGACAAAUGAUUGGGGUGAAGUCGUAACAAGGUAGCCGUAUCGGAAGGUGCGGCUGGAUCACCUCCUUUCUAAGGA
rnacentral:rRNA from 1 species